UGGGGAAUAUUGCACAAUGGGGGGAAACCCUGAUGCAGCGACGCCGCGUGAAGGAAGAAGUAUCUCGGUAUGUAAAACUUCUAUCAGCAGGGAAGGAUAAGUGACGGUACCUGACUAAGAAGCCCCGGCUAACUACGUGCC
rnacentral:rRNA from 1 species